ensembl:snoRNA
UACAUAUGAUGUUUUUUCUCACGAUGGUCUUCCAAGCCCUCUGGGUUCUGACGACAAUGCCUAAUGGCAAAACUGAUGUAGUGUA